rnacentral:rRNA from 1 species
AGAGUUUGAUCCUGGCUCAGGAUGAACGCCGGCGGUGUGCCUAAUACAUGCAAGUCGUACGCACUGGCCCAACUGAUUGAUGGUGCUUGCACCUGAUUGAUGAUGGAUCACCAGUGAGUGGCGGACGGGUGAGUAACACGUAGGUAACCUGCCCCGGAGCGGGGGAUAACAUUUGGAAACAGAUGCUAAUACCGCAUAACAACAAAAGCCACAUGGCUUUUGUUUGAAAGAUGGCUUUGGCUAUCACUCUGGGAUGGACCUGCGGUGCAUUAGCUAGUUGGUAAGGUAACGGCUUACCAAGGCGAUGAUGCAUAGCCGAGUUGAGAGACUGAUCGGCCACAAUGGAACUGAGACACGGUCCAUACUCCUACGGGAGGCAGCAGUAGGGAAUCUUCCACAAUGGGCGCAAGCCUGAUGGAGCAACACCGCGUGAGUGAAGAAGGGUUUCGGCUCGUAAAGCUCUGUUGUUGGAGAAGAACGUGCGUGAGAGUAACUGUUCACGCAGUGACGGUAUCCAACCAGAAAGUCACGGCUAACUACGUGCCAGCAGCCGCGGUAAUACGUAGGUGGCAAGCGUUAUCCGGAUUUAUUGGGCGUAAAGCGAGCGCAGGCGGUUGCUUAGGUCUGAUGUGAAAGCCUUCGGCUUAACCGAAGAAGUGCAUCGGAAACCGGGCGACUUGAGUGCAGAAGAGGACAGUGGAACUCCAUGUGUAGCGGUGGAAUGCGUAGAUAUAUGGAAGAACACCAGUGGCGAAGGCGGCUGUCUGGUCUGCAACUGACGCUGAGGCUCGAAAGCAUGGGUAGCGAACAGGAUUAGAUACCCUGGUAGUCCAUGCCGUAAACGAUGAGUGCUAGGUGUUGGAGGGUUUCCGCCCUUCAGUGCCGGAGCUAACGCAUUAAGCACUCCGCCUGGGGAGUACGACCGCAAGGUUGAAACUCAAAGGAAUUGACGGGGGCCCGCAC